AAGUCGGGAUGUGAAAUCCCCGGGGCUUAACCUGGGGAACUGCAUUCGAAACUGGCAGGCUAGAGUCUUGUAGAGGGGGGUAGAAUUCCAGGUGUAGCGGUGAAAUGCGUAGAGAUCUGGAGGAAUACCGGUGGCGAAGGCGGCCCCCUGGACAAAGACUGACGCUCAGGUGCGAAAGCGUGGGGAGCAAACAGGAUUAGAUACCCUGGUAGUCCACGCCGUAAACGAUGUCGACUUGGAGGUUGUUCCCUUGAGGAGUGGCUUCCGGAGCUAACGCGUUAAGUCGACCGCCUGGGGAGUACGGCCGCAAGGUUAAAACUCAAAUGAAAUUGACGGGGGCCCGCACAAGCGGUGGAGCAUGUGGUUUAAUUCGAUGCAACGCGAAGAAACCUUACCUACUCUUGACAUCCAGAGAACUUAGCAGAGAUGCUUAUGGUGCCUUCGGGAACUCUGAGACAGGUGCUGCAUGGCUGUCGUCAGCUCGUGAUGUGAAAAUGUUGGGUUAAGUCCCGCGACGAGCGCAACCACAUUAUCCUUUGUAGGCCAGCGAGUCGCCCGGGAACUCGAAGGGAACUGGCAGGUGGUAAACUGGAAGAAAGUGGGG
rnacentral:rRNA from 1 species